GAUGAACGCUGACAGCAUGCUUAACACAUCAGCAAUUGAUUGGUGGCGGACGGGUGAGUAACGCGUAAAGAACUUGCCUCACCGCUAGGGACAACAUUUGGAAACGAAUGCUAAUACCUAAUACUGUGAGAGAGCUUUGCGUCCCAUUAGCUAGUUGGAGAGGUAACGGCUCACCCAGGCGAGGAUGGGUAGCCGGCCUGAGAGGGUGAUCGGGCACAAGGGGACGGAGACACGGCCCUUACGGCGACGGGAGGCAGCGGUGGGGAAUAUUGGACAAUGGACCAAAGUCUGAUCCAGCAAUUCUGGGUGCAAGAUGAAGUUUUCGGAAUGUAAAGUGCAUGCAGUUGGGAAGCGGUACCAACAGAAGAAGUGACGGCUAAAUACGUGCCAGCAGCCGCGGUAAUAC
rnacentral:rRNA from 1 species